GUGUAUAUAAUGCAGUGCGUUUGUGUAGUGUGUUUAUAUAAUGCAGUGUUUGUAUAGUAUUAUAUAAACACACUAUACAAACACACUGCAUUAUAUACACACAC